GCCGGGAUAGCUCAGUUGGUAGAGCAGAGGACUGAAAAUCCUCGUGUCACCAAUUCAAAUCGAAUUCUUGGCA
rfam:Solanum lycopersicum cultivar Heinz 1706 chromosome 1, whole genome shotgun sequence.